UGAAGGUCUAAAGAAAAAAUUGACUUUAAUAUUUUGGCUUCUUUUUCACUGUGUGAAGCACACCACCUGCAAAAACGCUAAUCGUCGUUGUCGUGGAAUUUUUUUCCAACCAAAACAGAACCGAACACCAUUGAAAACACCCUUUCCACCCUUCCUCUUUUUCGACGGAGAUUGAACCUUUUUUCACCGCGACACUCAAUCUCGUUCUAACCGAAACUCCACACUUUUCUUCAUAUUUG
rnacentral:lncRNA from 1 species